CUCUGAGCCAGGUGCUCCAAGAGCUUUGUGUAGGUUAUUUCCACAUCUUACCACAACCUGUGAGGUAGCUUCAUACAAAGGCAUUGAGGCCUAGUAAGGAGAUGUAACUGAACUGAAAGCCCUACAGCUGGAGGCAAUGAGCCCAAUUGAAGACUAGAUUUCCCUGCCUCCCUUGCACACAGCCAAGUGACUAACUUCUAAACAAUGAAAUGUUAGCAGAAUUGUUGCAAGUGUCUUCUGGAAUUAAAGGAAGCUGACUAAACAGGGAGCUGCAGUUGUUCUUCCACCGAAGUCUUGAACCCCUCAAAGUCAUCCAUGAGGGUUGGAAUCAAUUUCUUCCAAACUCCUGUUAAUGUCAAUAUUUUGGCCUCUUCCCAUAGAUCAUGAAUGUUCUU